AGUGAACGCUGGCGGUAGGCCUAACACAUGCAAGUCGAACGGCAGCACAGUAAGAGUUUGCUCUUACGGGUGGCGAGUGGCGGACGGGUGAGGAAUACAUCGGAAUCUACUUUUUCGUGGGGGAUAACGUAGGGAAACUUACGAUAAUACCGCAUACGACCUACGGGUGAAAGCAGGGGAUCUUCGGACCUUGCGCGAUUGAAUUAGCCGAUGUCGGAUUAGCUAGUUGGCGGGGUAAAGGCCCACCAAGGCGACGAUCCGUAGCUGGUCUGAGAGGAGGAUCGGCCACACUGGAACUGGGACACGGUCCAGAGUCCUACGGGAGGCAGCAGUGGGGAAUGUUGGGCAAUGGGCGCAAGCCUGAUCCAGCCAUACCGCGUGGGUGAAGAAGGCCUUCGGGUUGUAAAGCCCUUUUGUUGGGAAAGAAAAGCAGCAGGUUAAUACCCAGCUGUUCUGACGGUACCCAAAGAAUAAGCACCGGCUAACUUCGUG
rnacentral:rRNA from 1 species